GAUGAACGCUGGCGGCGUGCUUAACACAUGCAAGUCGAACGGAAACGCCCAAGCUUGUUUGGCUUCUCGAGUGCCGAACGCGUGAGUAAGACGUGGGUGAUCUGCCCUGCACUUCGGGAUAGGCUUGGGUAACUGGGCUUACUACCGGACAGGAUCCCACCUUGGAGUGUGUGCAGGAAAGUUUUUCGGCUUGGGCUGAGCGGGCGGCCUAUCAGCUUGUUGGUGGGGGAAUGGCCUACCAAGCCCCCGAAGGGUAGCCGGCCUGAGAGGGUAUACGGUGACAUGGGGACUGAGGUACGGCGCAGACUCGUACGGGGGGCAACAGGGGGGAGUAUUGCACAAUGGGCGCGAGCCUGAUGCAGCGGCGCCGCGUGGGGGAAGACGGCCUGCGGGUUGUGAACACCUUUCGGUAGGGACGAAGCGCAAGUGACGGUACCUGGAGAAGAAGCACCGGCUAACUACGUG
rnacentral:rRNA from 1 species